UCCUUGGCUGUGCCCCCUGUGCCCCCAGGUUUACCCUGGUGGUCCCUGGCUGUGCCCCCUGUGCCCCCAGGUUGUCCCUGGUGGUCCCUGGCUGUGCCCCCCGUGUCCCCAGGUUCUCCCUGGCCGAGGGGCAGUGCUGGUACAGCCCGAGGUUGUCCCUGGGGGUCCCUGAGCUGUGGGGCCCCCCAGGUUCUCCCCUGCUGACAGGCAGUGCUGGGACACCCCAGGUUCUCCCCGGGGUCCCUGGCUGUGCCCCCCAGGUUCUCCAAGGUGGUCCCUGCUUCUGGGCUGUCCCCCUCCCUGGUGGUCCCUGUUUUUAUGGCAUCCCCCUCCCUGGUGGUCCCUGACUGUGCCCCCCCUGCCCCCAGGUUCUCCCCGGACGAGGGGCAGUGCUGGGACACCCCAGGUUCACCCCGGUGGUCUCACCCCCGUGGUCUCUGUGUCCCCAGGUUCUCCCCGGCCGAGGGGCAGUGCUGGCACAGCCCCAGGUUGUCCCUGGGGGUCCCUGACUGUCCCCUGUGCCCCCCAGGUUCUCCCCAGACGAGGGGCAGUGCUGGUACAGCCACACCUUCUCCCCCGAGCCGCUCUUCUUCACGGGCCUGGCCUCGGAGCCGGGGGCUCGCUCCAGCACCGUCAGCGUGUGGGGGUUCCGGGGGGCCUUCCCCGCCCGGCACUGGGUGUCCUACACCGUGGAUUUUGGGGAGCUGCUCAGCAGGACCUGCGAGGACAAGGACUACACCAUCUGGCUGGCUCACUCCAGCGACCCCAGUGCUCCCAGUGAUGGCUGCGUGCUGGGCUACAAGGAGCAGUUCCGGCGCCUGCGCAAGGCCUCGCUCUGCCGCAACGGGCGCGGCUUCAGCGCCAGCCCCCAGCGCUCCGUGUGCCCCUGCACCCUGCAGGACUUCCUGUGGUACUGAUCCCAUCCCAAACCAUCCCAAACCAUCCCCUCCCAGUGCUCCAUGUGCCCCUGCACCCUGCAGGACUUCCUGUGGUACUGAUCCCAAACCAUCCCAAACCAUCCCAAACCAUCCCAUCCCCAUUCCCAUCCCCAUUCCCAUCCCAUUCUCAGUCCCAUCCCCAUUCCCAUUCUAUUCUCAG
rnacentral:lncRNA from 1 species